CUGCUGUGAUGAUACAUGGAAAUGUGGUUUCAACUGGCUGACAGUUGAGUGAGGACAAAAAAUUCCUUGGCUGUGUCUGAGCAC